CCCAGUCAUCACACUGAGUCCUGUUUUCUUUGGCUGUGUUCCUCCUCAGCGUCCAUCCAGCAGAGCUGUCGUCCUCCUCACAGCUCAGAGAAACAAACUGAUCUUUAAACAACUGAGAGCUGCUGGGACUCACAGUCAUAGAGGCUGGAGGAAGAGACAGAAAGAUGUGGCGGCCAGAAGGAGGACUGAGAGCUUGGAGGAGCUCAGCAGGUGGAACAAAGCGUACUGGAGGAUUCUGGAAACACACUGAGCAGCUUUGGCCCCGGAGUAUUUGCCACUGUCAAUUUUAUAAACAAUUAAGGUGCCAAUAAAUGAAUAAACCCUG